ensembl:lncRNA
AGUUACUGUCAUUGGACAACUUAACAUAGCUGGAAGGGUAUAUUUUGAAAGUUACAGCAAUCCAAAUUCUAAUGAAUAUAAAACCUUGCAUGAUGAAUUAUUGCCAAAGCUGAAAGCGGUGUACAGUACAUUGAAUUCAUUUGAUGACAUACACAUCACAGGGUUCAGUCGUGGUAGUGUCAUCAUCGCUUUUGAAAUGAACCUCAACGACGUUUCAGCUGAUGUCCUUGCAAGCAAAACAGCAGAAUUGGAAAAAAUACUGAAUUCUACGUUCACGCUAGAGACAGCAGGCGUCGUUGAGAUCACAGUACCAGAAGGCCCGGUACUGAUGCUACAGUGAUACCCACUAGUAGGACGACUACAAUUCUCCUCAGACAGGCAACGGAGAUCUGGGAAGGUCUGUACACGUGUGUCUUCAAUCCAAAAUCCUCCAAUGUGACCAUAAACCACAAAGCCAGUGCAACACUAGACAUAGCGCUCCUGCCACAAAUUGACAUCAGUAGCACGCCCCAAUUUCCGGACUGUUACAACAAAUAUAAUGCAAAUGCUAGAAUCUUUGUCAGAGUUCAAUGCGAAAUUAUGAAUAGCACUGAAAACUACAAUGUGACAUGGAAUUACACCAACACUGAAACUCCAUUAAAUGAACAAAAAGGUAACUUUCUGCCCUUCAUG